GUUCUAUUUGGAUAACACAUCAUACAAAAGAAGAAAGAAAAAAUAAAAAAAAGGGGGUAAAGAUUUGAUUAGAUGUACGAAUUGGGUUUCUUAAAGUAAAUAUUAAAGUAUAAAUGGUGCACAUUUAAAACUGUCACAAAUCCAAAUCCAUAGCUUAUCAAAUAAAAUCAAAUCCCUUAUACAUUAAGCAACAAUUAUUGUACGGAUACAUAGAUGCAAAAUGAAAAAGAAAAGAAAUACAAAAUGUGGUAAAUUCCAACGGUAAAAAAAAAAAUUAAGGAUUUUCUUUGAAUUUGAGGAAGAGGAAAAUGUAGCUAAUUAGGAAGUUUUUUUUUACCGUUGAUAAGGAAUAUUAAGGGUCCAUUCUCAUUACAGAAUCCCAAACGCUCUUUUCCUCUCUACCAUUCUCUCGAUCCCUCCUCUCCUUUUUCCGUCGAGAUGUCCAGUGCCACCGUCAUAGCCGUUCCUCGUCGGUCCGUUUUAGUUUGAUUGUUGUUACUUUCUUGUUUAAACCGGGGAAAUGGGUUUAUUUUCAAGCAUUUGAAUUUUGAGGAAGAGGAAAAUGUAGCUAAUUAGGAAAUUUUUUACCGUUCAUGCGUAAAUACUAAGGGUCCAUUCUCAUAAGAGCAUCUGAAACGUUCUUUUCCCUCAAUUAUUUUCCUUUCACUCAGCUGUGAAACCCAUAAUGAAUCCUGCGAUUCUCCUAGGGCUGAAAUCCUCAAUUUUCAGUUUUAAUCAACACGCCUCUCUUUUGUUCCUUGUUCCUGUGAUGCUACCUAUUCUUCUGUAGAUUUAGUUUGAUUGUUGUUACUUUCUUGUUUAAACCGGGGAAAUGGGUUUAUUCUCAAGCAUUUGACAUAAAACUGUUGCAUACCGGAGCAAUCAUGGAAAGAAGAGAAGAAAAUAAUAACUCUGGACUUUCUAAAUCUGUUUCAUAUUUCUUAGUUCUUAUUCUUCAAAUGGGUUUAAUGAAGUUUUCGUGUGCGAUCAGUUUCUUUAAUUUCUUGCAUCUCUUAAUAAUUCUUUAGAAUGGGAUGUGGACAACUUUCAGGGAAAACCGUCUUCAUGUUGUUUUUCUAUUUAUAGGGUACAUUAUGAUCAAGGUCUUGGAGGAAGUUGAAGAGGUAUCACCGGAGCUUCUGUCCCCUAUCUUGGGCAGUUUAAGAAAGGAGAACCAUGUGAUUUCUAUUCUUUUUCCUUUUAAAGUGGUAUAUUGAUUUGCUGAUCAGAUAAUUAUUUUCUUUUUCUCCUCCACCAGAGUGUUCUGCCUAUUACGUGGAAGCUGGGUGAUAGAGUGUUUGAAAAUUGUGUUUCAAAGCUUGUACCCUACAUGCGUCAAGGGGUGCAAUAUAUGGGCUUUCCUUUAGAUGAUUAUGGUAAACUUGUUGCCUAUAUAUGUGCGCAAAAUCGUGGGACUCCGGAUCACAAUAAAGUAAAUUCUUUUCAAGAGCAGUUGCAAUCAAGGAAUUUGUAAUUCAUCUUCAGUCAACCCGUUUCUCAAGUCUGAACAUGUUUGUUCUCAACAAUGGAGAGGUAGAAAAAUCAGAUAAGGAAAAUCUAGGAUGAAAAAGGCUUAUUUAGCUCCGGAUGAUGGUAAACCUUUUGUUGCGAAUUUGAUUGGUUCCAGAAUCAAAGUCUGGUGUGCAGAAGAACAUGUAAGUUGGUUCGGGGACUUCAUAAACCAUAGCAGGUUGCUUAUGAUAAUACUCAGUUCUUGUAAUUUUUGCUUCUGUGUAUCUGUUUCCUAUACUCUUUAAUAGUACUACUACGUACACUUGGGUAAAAGUUCAUUUGGUCAGUAUGAAAAUAUUUUACAGGAGUAGA